AAUGGUUUUUGGUUCAGAGUCAAUGUUACUAUUAUUUUCACUGUCUUUGGUCAUUAUCCUUCUUUUCCUCUAUUAUUUUUUUUAUUGCUCUGGUUUUUCUUUGUUAUUCUUGUUUUUCAACCGAGUGCCCUUCUUUGGCCAUUCCUUAUUUUGAACCCUCGAGUUUAUUUUCUCUUUUUUUUUCCUCGAUGAUUCUCUUUUUUUUUCCACACUCACCUUGACUUUUGAAAUUUAUGGGGUGUUACCCCAAACUUAGAAUUUCAACACAAC
rnacentral:lncRNA from 1 species